rnacentral:rRNA from 1 species
GACGAACGCUGGCGGCGUGCUUAACACAUGCAAGUCGAACGGAAAGGCCCUGCUUUUGUGGGGUGCUCGAGUGGCGAACGGGUGAGUAACACGUGAGUAACCUGCCCUUGACUUUGGGAUAACUUCAGGAAACUGGGGCUAAUACCGGAUAGGAGCUCCUGCUGCAUGGUGGGGGUUGGAAAGUUUCGGCGGUUGGGGAUGGACUCGCGGCUUAUCAGCUUGUUGGUGGGGUAGUGGCUUACCAAGGCUUUGACGGGUAGCCGGCCUGAGAGGGUGACCGGCCACAUUGGGACUGAGAUACGGCCCAGACUCCUACGGGAGGCAGCAGUGGGGAAUAUUGCUCAAUGGGCGGAAGCCCGAUGCAGCAACGCCGCGUGCGGGAUGACGGCCUUCGGGUUGUAAACCGCUUUCGCCUGUGACGAAGCGUGAGUGACGGUAAUGGGUAAAGAAGCACCGGCUAACUACGUG